rnacentral:rRNA from 1 species
AACGAACGCUGGCGGCGUGCCUAACACAUGCAAGUCGAGCGAGAAAAGGGGGCAACUCCCUGAGUAAAGCGGCGAACGGGUGAGUAACACGUAGGUGAUCUACCCUCGAGUCCAGGAUAACCUACCGAAAGGUGGGCUAAUACCGGAUAUGACCACGGGAGUUACGGCUCCUGCGGUGAAAGGUGGCCUCUGCUUGCAAGCUACCGCUCAAGGAUGAGCCUGCGCGCCAUAGCUAGUUGGUGGGGUAACGGCCCACCAAGGCGAUGAUGGCUAGCUGGUCUGAGAGGAUGGCCAGCCACACUGGGACUGGAACACGGCCCAGACUCCUACGGGAGGCAGCAGCGGGGAUAUUGCACAAUGGCGAAAGCCUGAUGCAGCAACG